rnacentral:rRNA from 1 species
UUGUGGUUUAAUUCGAUGAUACGCGAGGACUUACCUGGCUUAAAUGUAGAGUGCAUUUCUGGAGAUAGGAAUUCCCUUCGGGGCUUUCUGCAGGGUGCUGCAUGGUUGUCGUCAGCUCGUGCCGUGAGGUGUCGGGUUAAGUCCCAUAACGAGCGCAACCCUUAUCGUUAGUUGCCAGCUGGUAAAGCAGGGGACUCUAGCGAAACUGCCACCGUAAGGUGAGAGGAAGGUGGGAUGACGUCAAAUCAGCACGGCCCUUAUGUCCAGGGCUACACACGUGUUACAAUGGCCGGCACAGAGGGCAGCUACCUGGUGACAGGAUGCUAAUCUCGAAAACCGGUCUCAGUUCGGAUCGAAGUCUGCAACUCGACUUCGUGAAGCUGGAUUCGCUAGUAAUCGCGCAUCAGCCAUGGCGCGGUGAAUACGUUCCCGGGCCUU